UUUUCUUGCAGUAUCUUGUGUGGCUGGAAUGGGCUGGUAAGUUUGCUUGGCGCAGUCUAAAGGAAGGCCUGACUAUUGGGAUGCUCAGGAAAGACCUGUCUUGGAAAGUCUUGUUGCUGUAUUCAAAGCAGUGUUCCCUGUGGAAACUUAGUGCAAACAAGGGAAAAAUGAGAUGCGGCUAUAACUGUUUACAAGAGAGAUCUACUGAGUGCAGAGAGAAGGAUGAUAUGGAGCAACUACAGUUAGGAGACCAAAAGGAAAGGAGCUGUUAAAGCAUCAGACAGAUAAACCCUCCCUGCUGUGAAGAGCAUCCUUCAUCCAUAGGUCAGUCUCAGCUGCUGCAGAGUUGUGCAUGGAACACCCAUGAGGCUCAGUGAGUGGUCUGACAACAGCUGAUUUCCAGUUGCUGGUAGUUUUUGUCAGAGGACUUAUUUACAGCUACCUGACUGGCAGAUCAUCUAACCUACACGUGAUCACUUUCUUCAAGAAUUCCUUCAUAUUGCAGAUAUUCACCAUUUUAAAAACACAAUAUUGAAUUAUACCACCUGGUUUCCUGCUAUUGUUAUCUAUUAUCAACAGCCCAGUACUACACUAUAGAAUGGUUAAAACAAUGGAUUAGACAAAUUUUGGGUAAGUUAAAUUUGCCAUCAGUUCAUCUACUAUUUUUGUGAAGUUGCAGAAACAGGGCAAAAGUCUUUUUUACAAACUUGGAAUAUUUUGAGCUAACUGACCUGAAGACAGGACAGCCAAAAGUUAAGAGAGAUGAGAGAAACCAAAUUUAACUGGAAUGGUUUAAUCCUGAAAAGUUUUGACUUCUUUCCUGAUAUGUGAGGGAGAUCCUUGAGAGAUUAGAUUCUGAAGCUGCUUUCAAGCUAGGACAGUGACUCCAAAUAGGCAAGGUAAAAUUAUAGCCCAAGAAUCAGAAGCUGUGAUGCUUUGCUACACAGAGGAUGCCUGCCAGCUCAGGUGUCACACAAAGCACCAAGAGGUCUGGCUCUUCUGCUGAGCCCAUUCCCUUGCAAGGAGGGGACUGGGUUACAUUGGCACUUUUUGUCAUCAGCCACAAGUGUAUUGGGUGGGAGGAGGGUUGUAUGCCAUACAUGGCCAUCGUCCCUGAUGGUAUAUAAAGACAGGACAGCCCUAUUAUUCUGUCAUAAGGAGCAACACAGAUAAUGUCACAACUGAUAAAUGUGUCCAACACCUGGUGAUAGAGCACACUCUUUCAGCACCUCCUCACUCAGAGAGCACAGCAGUUGCAACUCUUUUUACAAUCUUUAGAAUGAAUAUCACUGCUAAACAGUUUGCUGCUUUUGGUUUAGCUUUUGUGGGACAUGUAAUACUGGAGUCAAGAAUUAUCCAAAGAGAGGAGGUAAGUGAUAAAUCAUUCAAGACAACCACAGAGCAAAGGUUGUGAAGCUCCAGACAGUGUUGAAGAGAGCAUCCGCAGGAAUGGGUAUUAGAAGCAUUGAUUUCUCCAGCACAUCCAUAAGCCCUGCUGGUGGUACACUUGUUUUCAAAUCAGACCUUGCUGACAUCCAACCUGCUUGAUUCUGUGAAGUGAAGGUAGGUCAUCAGCCAUGGGUUGUGUACUCCCCUGUUGUAGUGCUUCACACUGGUUUCUCUGGAAACUUUCAGCAUCCCUGUGUUGGGUAAAUCUCUUACAUUCAACCCUAAAUUACCAUUUUAAAGUGUCUUGUAUGUAUUCAAGUGGAACAUACAGAGUUAUACAAGAUUAAAAACUCUCUUUUCAAUCACACCUAUGAGAUACAAAUUUGAUCACUCCCAAAGUUUGGCCCAUGUUAAGCUCUGAGGCUUUGGUGUGACACUAAUUGUAAGAAGAGGAUAAGGCUAAUUACAGCAGAGUAAACUGACCUAGUAAGAGAAACCUGAUCCUUUAAUCCUGUAAACAUACAGAUCAGUUAAUUGCUAACAUGGUUGUUCUUGUGGAGGGAGUGUUAGAUGGCUAUGAAAUCUCAAAGACUGUUCCAGUUUCACAGACAACAACUCAGAAAUGAAGCCACUUGUCCAGGGUCCUGGAGAAGGCAGUGUUUGAUUUAAUGGGCCUUUGGACUUGGGGCAGCUUUAGCUUGCAGAAAUGUUGCACAGCAGAAGUGGAGAGUCAGUGAUAUGACCUUCUAACAAAAAAGAAGGCAAAGGAAAAUGUGUUUUCAUUAUGAGAGAGAAGGUGAAAGACUGCCUUUAAAAACAUUUUUUGGUAAUAGACUCUUGCUUAUAGCAGAAGACAAGAACUUGUAGUUGUCUCAGAACACACAAAAAUCAGUUGUUGGUCAGAAUUGCUAUCUGCAGUAUUGAGCUGAAGAAGGCUAUUGGCCAGAUAAGCAUGUCCUUCCCCCUAAACUUAUACAUUGGGUUUAAUUAUUCCUUCCUUCUGUAAAUGUUUACUUUUAGCUUUACAAUGUUUAGGUAUAAUGCAUUCUUUGGGCAUAGGUGUUGUGGACUUCUUUGAGUUAAUAUUACUACAAAAGCAAGAGACUGCAAUUUCUGUUUGUUUUCAUAUAAUUAACAGAGAGCAGCAAAAAUAUUUAAACAAAAAUAUUCAAUUUUUAAUCAUACUUGAAAACUUCUUUUUGCAUGCAAAUACAUGUGAG